rnacentral:rRNA from 2 species
CCCUCAAGAUGAGAUUUCCCAUUCCGCAAGGAAGUAAGAUCCCUGAAAGAUGAUCAGGUUGAUAGGUCUGAGGUGGAAGCGUGGUGACACGUGGAGCUGACAGAUACUAAUAGAUCGAGGACUUAACCUAUAUU